CAUUAAUGUCAAAAGAGAAAUUAUAAAACUCUCAUAUUCAUUUACUUAAUUUGCUAAACGAUAAUCAACUUAGAGGAAGGUUUAUUUACAAAAAACUUGUUGGUUACAAACUAUUAGAGGUUUAAUGUGUAUACACAAAUGCAAAUUGUUUGCAUUUAAUAAUAAUAAUUGGUAAAUUUAAAAAUAAUUUAUGACUGCAAUUACCAUAGGUGCUUUUUUUGUAGUCUAUACCCAGACAUAAAAAAUUACAUUAUACAUUAAAUUGGUCCACUACGAAUUCUGUCAUAACAAAUAGAAGAUGUCUGAAAUAUCACAGAGCUCUAAAAAGAUGAUAGUGGUACGGAAAAUUGGUGUAAAGAUAAAAAAAGAAAUGCCUGAUGAGAAUGAGUUUCCAGGGUACUGCAGGGAGGUCAAUCUAACAUGAUACAUAGCUAGCAAUGGAGCUGGUAUAUCUCAUUACUAACAAUCCCCUCCCCUCUGGCAAAAGAAGAGAAAUCAAAAUUAUAGGCUGAUGACAUGA